UGGGGAAUAUUGGACAAUGGGCGAAAGCCUGAUCCAGCAAUGCCGCGUGAGUGAUGAAGGCCUUAGGGUUGUAAAGCUCUUUUACCAGGGAUGAUAAUGACAGUACCUGGAGAAUAAGCUCCGGCUAACUCCGUGCCAGCAGCCGCGGUAAUACGGAGGGAGCUAGCGUUGUUCGGAAUUACUGGGCGUAAAGCGUACGUAGGCGGUGACUCAAGUCAGAGGUGAAAGCCUGGAGCUCAACUCCAGAACUGCCUUUGAAACUAGGUCGCUAGAAUCACGGAGAGGUGAGUGGAAUUCCGAGUGUAGAGGUGAAAUUCGUAGAUAUCAAGAGGAACACCUGAGGUGAAGACGGGUUGCUGGGCUGACACUGACGCUGAGGCGCGAAAGCCAGGGGAGCAAACGGGAUUAGAUACCCGAGUAGUCCCUGAGCGGGCUGGCAAGGCGCAU
rnacentral:rRNA from 1 species